rnacentral:rRNA from 1 species
UUCGCAAUGCCCGAAAGGGUGACGAAGCGACGCCGCGUGGGUGAAAGGCCUUCGGGUUGUAAAGCCCUGUCAGGAGUUAUGAAAUGUAAGUGCGCUAAUAUCGUGCUUAUUUGACAGAGGCUCCAAAGGAAGCCACGGCUAACUCUGUGCCAACAGCCGCGGUAAUACAGAGGUGGCAAGCGUUGUUCGGAAUUAUUGGGCGUAAAGAGCACGUAGGUGGGUUUGUAAGUCAGAUGUGAAAGCCUUCUGUUCAACGGAAGAAUUGCAUCUGAAACUACAGAUCUUGAGUGUAGGAGGGGAGAAUGGAACUUCUGGUGGAGCGGUGAAAUGCGUAGAUAUCAGAAGGAACGCCGGCGGCGAAAGCGAUUCUCUGGCCUAUUACUGACACUCAGUGUGCGAAAGCUAGGGGAGCAAACGGGAUUAGAUACCCCGGUAGUCCUAGCCGUAAACGAUGGGCACUAAGUAGAGGGGUUUU